AGCUUUGCGCAGUGGCAGUGUCGUAGCCAAUGAGGUUUAUCCGAGAAGCGAUUACUUGCUAAUUAAAAACUUUUCCCAAUACCCUGCCAUGACGACUUGAAAAAUGCUUUCCAACGUAUAGUCAUAGCACAGAAAUGGGCACCUGCUA